GCAUUGAUGGUUCAGUGGUAGAAUUCUUGCCUUCCAUGCAGGAGAUCCAGGUUUGACUCCCGGUCAAUGCA
rnacentral:tRNA from 1 species